rnacentral:rRNA from 1 species
AUUGAACGUUGGCGGCAGGCCUAACACAUGCAAGUCGAGCGGAUGAAGGGAGCUUGCUCCUGGAUUCAGCGGCGGACGGGUGAGUAAUUCCUAAGAAUCUGCCUGGUAGUGGGGGAUAACGUCCGGAUACGGGCGCUAAUACCGCAUACGUCCUGAGGGAGAAAGUGGGGGAUCUUCGGACUUCACGCUAUCAGAUGAGCCUAGGUCGGAUUAGCUAGUUGGUGGGGUAAAGGCCUACCACGGCGACGAUCCGUAACUGGUCUGAGAGGAUGAUCAGUCACACUGGAACUGAGACACGGUCCAGACUCCUACGGGAGGCAGCAGUGGGGAAUAUUGGACAAUGGGCGAAAGCCUGAUCCAGCCAUGCCGCGUGUGUGAAGAAGGUCUUCGGAUUGUAAAGCACUUUAAGUUGGGAGGAAGGGCAGUAAGUUAAUACCUUGCUGUUUUGACGUUACCAACAGAAUAAGCACCGGCUAACUUCGUG